GACGAACGCUGGCGGCGUGCCUAAUACAUGCAAGUAGAACGCUGAAGGAGGAGCUUGCUUCUCUGGAUGAGUUGCGAACGGGUGAGUAACGCGUAGGUAACCUGCCUGGUAGCGGGGGAUAACUAUUGGAAACGAUAGCUAAUACCGCAUAAGAGUAGAUGUUGCAUGACAUUUACUUAAAAGGUGCAAUUGCAUCACUACCAGAUGGACCUGCGUUGUAUUAGCUAGUUGGUGAGGUAACGGCUCACCAAGGCAACGAUACAUAGCCGACCUGAGAGGGGGAUCGGCCACACUGGGACUGAGACACGGCCCAGACUCCUACGGGAGGCAGCAGUAGGGAAUCUUCGGCAAUGGACGGAAGUCUGACCGAGCAACGCCGCGGGAGUGAAGAAGGUUUUCGGAUCGUAAAGCUCGGUUGUAAGAGAAGAACGAGUGUGAGAGUGGAAAGUUCACACUGUGACGGUAUCUUACCAGAAAGGGACGGCUAACUACGUG
rnacentral:rRNA from 1 species